AGUGAACGCUGGCGGUAGGCCUAACACAUGCAAGUCGAACGGCAGCACAGUAAGAGCUUGCUCUUACGGGUGGCGAGUGGCGGACGGGUGAGGAAUACAUCGGAAUCUACUUUUUCGUGGGGGAUAACGUAGGGAAACUUACGCUAAUACCGCAUACGACCUACGGGUGAAAGCAGGGGAUCUUCGGACCUUGCGCGAUUGAAUGAGCCGAUGUCGGAUUAGCUAGUUGGCGGGGUAAAGGCCCACCAAGGCGACGAUCCGUAGCUGGUCUGAGAGGAUGAUCAGCCACACUGGAACUGAGACACGGUACAGACCCCUACGGGAGGCAGCAGUGGGGAAUAUUGGACAAUGGGCGCAAGCCUGAUCCAGCCAUACCGCGUGGGUGAAGAAGGCCUUCGGGUUGUAAAGCCCUUUUGUUGGGAAAGAAAAGCAGCAGGUUAAUACCCCGCUGUUCUGACGGUACCCAAAGAAUAAGCACCGGCUAACUUCGUG
rnacentral:rRNA from 1 species